AAUAUAUGUAUCUCCUAGAAUAAUGGUUUGGAUGUAAUAAAUGGUUUGUGUAUUGUGCUCUCGAUCUUCUUAGCUAAAGAAAAUCAUUAUCUAUUUUCUUUUGAUUGUAAUCUAUUGAGAACACUGAGUCAAAGCAUAAGAAUGUGAAGGAAUCUUUGAUUCAAUGUUGUAAGGCGGAUUGCGAGGUACAAUUGUAGAAAGAAAAGCUUAAGAUACAAACUCAUAGCGCGAAAUAACUUGCAUAAGGUGAUUACAAUUGAGGGAAAAGUUACUUGCCGAAGAAGAAUGCUCACAUGAUAGGCUAUAAAAAAUUACGUAUAGUUUAGGAAAAUGUACAUAUUAAUAAAAAUGAGUAAACACCCAACAAUAUCAAGUAGUUAUUUAUUUUUAAUACUCUACAUUUUUUUGUAUUUUAAAGUAAUUUAAAUAGAUUAUUUGAUAUUCUACUUUGUUCAAGUCAAUUUUCAAAUUUUACAAGUUAGAUAAAGACCAUGUACAGAGUACGAGGCGAGACAGGUAAGGAAUAACUAUGCUCAUCUCUAACAAUUCAGUGAUUUCUAUGUAUUAAAUUAAAACAGAAGUACAAAACAUUAUUUACCUAAUUUUAAGUGAUUUUUACAUUUCAAUCAUUCCUUUUUAAACUAAUUUUAACAAUUUUAUUUAUUAUAUUUUCUAAUUAAUCCGACAUCAUUUAUUACAGAAGUUUAAAGUAUAAUGUACCUAUUUUAAGUUUUAUUAUAUCUUUACAUUCCUUUUUCAUUCUUCAUGACUACUUCAUUAAUUGUCUUUACCAUAAUAAUUCGACAUCGUUUAGUUUACGUGUUAACAUAAUAAUUCUACAGGUUUGAAUGCAAUUGUUCCAUUUGUGACCAGAAUUCAAACCGGUUAACAAAGAAAGUUUUACUUAUUUACAUAAUUAGUUAGGCAUGCGUAUUUCAGUAUUCGUUUGGGUACGAAUCGGUUUUUUCAGGUCUCAUGAUUUUGGAUUUUAAAAUUAUGCUCUGUUUGGAUAUUGUAACUUUAUGGGCAUAGUUCGAGUCGGGUCCUCGGUAAUGAUGUAUAGGAAUAUAAAGCUAUCCAAAAGCAUAUGUGUUUAGAAAUUUCAUUAAACAAUUUAUUAAAAAAAAGAAAAGGUAAAACACAACAGAUAAGCGGAUCAAGCUCUAGUUAGAUUUUUAAACUUUAGAGAGGAUUCAUGUCUCUAAGGGGAGAUUUGAACAAACAUUAAAAUCACGGAUUCGAUAAAUCAAAAAGAUUUGCUUCCUUUGAUGUAUUUGACUACAAAACUAUACUUUGUUUUUAUUCAUAUUAUGGAAACUUAUUUUGAAAUUAAGUAUGUCUUUUAUGUUUACCAAAUAUUUUUCAUGAAAGAUUAAAAUAUUACCCUACCAAUAUUGAAACAUAAUUACGAAAUAGAAUAUUUUCUUUUGACUAUAAUCUGAAGAAAUAAAUCGAAAUGAUUCUUUUGACCUAAAAAUACCUUUUACGUAUAUUUUUUUGUUAUAUAUAUAUAUAUAUAUAAAGUAAAGCAAAAAUAUAAAAAAUAUAAAAAGUUAAGAAGAUAUCAUAAAAAUGGCUAUCAGUAAGAAAAUGCUACAUGCAUAUGUUGUCAGUAUCUUCCUCAUCGUAUCUUCUGUGCACUGCUCUGAUCGCAUUCAUGGUAUUAGCUUAUUCUUAUAACUCGAUUUUACUUUUAUGGUGAACACAUUUUUUUUUUGUUUUAUUUUGAAUGUAUAUAACGAUUUAUAACUGUUGUUACAUUGGUGCUGGAAUCAAAAAAGAAUUUAAACAAUGCUUCCCAAAGCAGCCGUGUGGGAAGACUUGCGAAGAGUACUGUGUAGGACACAUUAACGAUAAAUGGGAUAUAAGGACAUCUUGUGAAUCUGGCGCAUGUUGUUGUAUAAAAGAUGGUGCUGUAUAACCACGAGAUAUUGUAAUCUCAUCAAAUAUAUGUAUCUCCUAGAAUAAUGGUUUGGAUGUAAUAAAUGGUUUGUGUAUUGUGCUCUCGAUCUUCUUAGCUAAAGAAAAUCAUUAUAUAUUUUCUUUUGAUUGUAAUCUAUUGAGAACACUGAGUCAAAGCAUAAGAAUGUGAAGGAAUCUUUGAUUCAAUGUUGUAAAGCGGAUUUCGAGGUACAAUUGGAGAAAGAAAAGCUUAAGAUACAAACUCAUAGCGCGAAAUAACUUGCAUAGGGUGAUUACAAUUGAGGGAAAAGUUACUUGCCGAAGAAGAAUGCUCACAUGAUAGGCUAUAAAAAAUUACGUAUAGUUUAGGAAAAUGUACAUAUUAGUAAAAAUGAGUAAAAACCCAACAAUGUCAAGUAGUUAUUUAUUUUUAAUACUCUACACUUUUUUGCAUUUGAAAGUAAUUUAAAUAGAUUAUUUGAUAUUCUACUUUGUUCAAGUCGAUUUUCAAAUUUUACAAGUUAGAUAAAGACCAUGUGCAGAGUACGAGGCGAGACAGGUAAGGAAUAACUAUGCUCAUCUCUAACAAUUCAGUGAUUUCUAUGUAUUAAAUAAAAACAGAAGUACAAAACAUUAUUACCUAAUUUUAAGUGUUUUUUACAUCUUAAUCAUUCCUUUUUAAACUAUUUUUAACCCUUUAAUUUAUAAUUUUUUCCAAUAAUUCGACAUCAUUUAUUACAGAAGGGUAAAAUAUAACGUACCUAUUUUAAGUUUUUAUUAUAUAUUUACAUUCCUUUUUCAUUCUUCAUGACUACUUCAUUAAUUGUCUUUACCAUAAUAAUUCGACAUCAUUUAGUUUACGUGUUAAUAUAAUAAUUCUACAGGUUUGAAUGCAAUUCUUCCAUUUGUGACCAGAAUUCAAACCGGUUAACAAAGAAAGUUUUACUUAUUUACAUAAUUAGUUAGGCAUGCAUAUUUCGGUAUUCGUUUGGGUACGAAUCGGUUUUUUCAGGUCUCAUGAUUUUGGAUUUUUAAAUUAUGCUCUGUUUGGAUAUUGUAAGUUUAUGGGCAUAGUUCGAGUCGGGUCCUCGGUUAUGAUGUAUAGGAAUAUAAAGCUAUCCAAAAGUAUAUGUGUUUAGAAAUGUCAUUAAACAAUUUAUUAAAAAAAGAAAAAGUAAAACACAACAGACAAGCGGAUCAAGCUCUAGUUAGAUUUCAAAAAUUUAGAGAGGAUUCAUGUCUCUAAGGGGAGAUUUGAACAAACAUUAAAAUCACGGAUUCGAUAAAUCAAAAAGAUUUGCUUCCUUUGAUUUAUUUGACUACGAAACUAAACUUUGUUUUUAUUCAUAUUAUAGAAACUUAUUUUGAAAUUAAGUAUGUCUUUUAUGUUUACCAAAUAUUUUUCAUGAAAGAUUAAAAUAUUACCCUACCAAUAUUGAAACAUAAUUACGAAAUAGAAUAUUUUCUUUUGACUAUAAUCUGAAGAAAUAAAUCAAAAUGAUUCUUUUGACUUAAAAAUACCUUUUACGUAUAUUUUUUUGUUAUAUAUAUAUAUAUAUAUAUAUAUAACAAUCCGAAGUAAAACAAAAAUAUAAAAAUAUAAAAAGUUAAGAAGAUAUCAUAAAAAUGGCUAUCACCAAGAAAAUGCUACUUGCAUAUGUUGUCAGUAUCUUCCUCAUCGUAUCUUCUGUGCACUGCUCUGAUCGCAUUCUUGGUGCUGGAAUCAAUAAAGAAUUAAAACAAUGCUUCCCAAAGCAGCCGUGUGGGAAGAUUUGCGAAGAGUACUGUGUAGGACACAUUAACGAUAAAUGGGGUAUAAGGACAUCUUGUGAAUCUGGCACAUGUUGUUGUAUAAAAGAUGGUGCUGUAUAACCACGAGAUAUUGUAAUCUCAUCAAAUAUAUGUAUCUCCUAGAAUAAUGGUUUGGAUGUAAUAAAUGGUUUGUGUAUUGUUCUCUCGAUCUUCUUAGCUAAAGAAAAUCAUUAUAUAUUUUGUUUUGAUUGUAAUCUAUUGAGAACACUGAGGCAAAACAUAAGAAUGUGAAGGAAUCUUUGAUUCAAUGUUGUAAGGCGGAUUGCGAGAUACAAUUGUAGAAAGAAAAGUUUAAGAUAGAAACUCAGAGCGCGAAAUAAAUUGCAUAAGGUGAUUAGAAUUGAGGGAAAAGUUAAUUCCCGAAGAAGAAUGCUGACAUGCUAGGCUAUAAAAAAUUAUGUAUAGUUUAGGAAAAUGUACAUAUGUUUAUUAGUAAAAAUGAGUAAAAACCCAACAAUGUCAAGUAGUUAUUUAUUUUUGAUACUCGAUACUUUUUUGCAUUUGAAAGUAAUUUAAAUAGAUUAUUUGAUAUUCGACUUUGUUCAAGUCACUUUCCAAAUUUUACAAGUUAAAUAAAGACCAUGUACAGAGUACGAGGAGAGACAAGUAAGGAAUAACUAUGCUCAUCUCUAACAAUUCAGUGAUUUCUAUGUAUAAUAUUAAAACAGAAGUACAAAACAUUAUUUACCUAAUUUUAAGUGAUUUUUACAUCUUAUUCAUUUCUUUUUAAACUAAUUUUAACCAUUUCAUUUAUUGUAUUUUCUAAUUAAUUCGACAUCAUUUAUUACAGAAAUUUAAAGUAUAAUGUACCUAUUUUAAGUUUUAUUAUAUCUUUACAUUCCUUUUUCAUUCUUCAUGACUACUUCAUUAAUUGUCUUUACCAUAAUAAUUCAACAUCAUUUAGUUUACGUGUUAACAUAAUAAUACUACAGGUUUGAAUGCAAUUGUUCCAUUUGUGACCGGAAUUCAAACCGGUUAACAAAGAAAGUUUUACUUAUUUACAUAAUUAGUUAGGCAUGGGUAUUUCGGUAUUCGUUUGGGUACGAAUCGGUUUUUUCAGGUCUCAUGAUUUUGGAUUUUAAAAUUAUGCUCUGUUUGGAUAUUGUAAGUUUAUGGGCAUAGUUCGAGUCGGGUCCUCGGUUAUUAUGUAUAGGAAUAUAAAGCUAUCCAAAAGCAUAUAUGUUUAGAAAUGUCAUUAAACAAUUUAUUAAAAAAGAAAAAGUAAAACACAACAGACAAGCGGAUCAAGUUCUAGUUAGAUUUCAAAAAUUUAGAGAGGAUUCAUGUCUCUAAGGGGAGAUUUGAACAAACAUUAAAAUCACGGAUUCGAUAAAUCAAAAAGAUUUGCUUCCUUUGAUGUAUUUGACUACGAAACUAAACUUUGUUUUUAUUCAUAUUAUAGAAACUUAUUUUGAAAUUAAGUAUGUCUUUUAUGUUUACCAAAUAUUUUUCAUGAAAGAUUAAAAUAUUACCCUACCUAUAUUGAAACAUAAUUACGAAAUAGACUAUUUUCUUUUGACUAUAAUCUGAAGAAAUAAAUCAAAAUGAUUCUUUUGACUUAAAAAUACCUUUUACGUAUAUUUUUUUGUUAUAUAUAUAUAUAUAUAUAUUAUAUAUAUAUAUAUAUAUAUAUAUAACAAUCCGAAGUAAAACAAAAAUAUAAAAAAUAUAAAAAGUUAAGAAGAUAUCAUAAAAAUGGCUAUCACCAAGAAAAUGCUACUUGCAUAUGUUGUCAGUAUCUUCCUCAUCGUAUCUUCUGUGCACUGCUCUGAUCGCAUUCUUGGUGCUGGAAUCAAUAAAGAAUUAAAACAAUGCUUCCCAAAGCAGCCGUGUGGGAAGAUUUGCGAAGAGUACUGUGUAGGACACAUUAACGAUAAAUGGGGUAUAAGGACAUCUUGUGAAUCUGGCACAUGUUGUUGUAUAAAAGAUGGUGCUGUAUAACCACGAGAUAUUGUAAUCUCAUCAAAUAUAUGUAUCUCCUAGAAUAAUGGUUUGGAUGUAAUAAAUGGUUUGUGUAUUGUUCUCUCGAUCUUCUUAGCUAAAGAAAAUCAUUAUAUAUUUU